rnacentral:lncRNA from 1 species
AAACUAAAAAAAAAAAAUCUGGUGGCCCCACCAGAUCAGAGAUGGGGGAACCCUCAGAUCUCAUAUCACUACUGCCUGUUUCUCUUCCACCACAUAGACUGCAGUUGGUUUCCAGWCCCAAGCUGGUACCACUAUAGCUACCAGGCUUCCAGAAGAAAUCUUCCCCACCUACGCACUCAUUUUGGUUGGGCUCUUUCAGUCCCCGCUGCCAGAGCCAAGCACCUGCACCACGCUGGGACACGCUUGCCUCCCUCACAAGCACUCCCCUGUGCAAGCGUGCAACGAAACCGGUAUCGUUCCCUGACCAAGCCAGCUUCCAUAGGGGAUGACCUGGAUAAUAAACACAAGGCUGCCAGGUUCCUCCACCUCAGUCCGGUUUUAACCCCUGCCCUGAUCGCAUCCGCUCCGCCAGCUCACCUGCUUGGAGCGACUCCGGUCCCACACCCCGCUGCGGAGAGCGAUAGGGAUCAGCAAGAGGCAGGGCAAAACCCUAGGAGAGCUUCGCGACCCUGCACGAAAUUCCCGCAGGGAUUUCAACACGCAGCCCUGACCCUCCACGUGCGACUCGGGGAGGGCAGCUCUGCUCUCCCGGCCCGUCCUCAUCGACGUCAACUCCUCUCCCUCCCUCCCCGGGGGGAGAAGCGCCCUAAAAAAAGGGUAUUUUCUUCCCAGUCUGCUCCAAAUCCCUGCUGUUACCUACUGAGGGGCCCCAGAGCCGCUCUGCAGGACCCGCUGCCGACACGCCGCAGGGAGGGGUGCCGGGCCCCUGCCAGCCUCCCCCCUCGCCUCUCCUCUCCCCCAAAUUGGAUUUCCUCUCCCCAAAUUGUGUCCCUUUCCCAGGCGCCCUCAAUCGAGCGCCGAGUCGCAGCUCUCCAAAGCAAUCGAGCCCCGCGCUGCCCCCCCACCCCCACCCCCGCUCCACGGCCCCGCACCGGAGCGCGGAGGGAAGCGGAUCGCCAGCAGCAUCGCCUGCGCGCUGCGGAGCGCCAAAGCAGGCGCAACUCCCGAGCCCCGGAGCCCUGCAGGCAGCCCCAGUGCACCCCCCCCCCCCUUCCCACGCACGCAUCUGGGGAGGAGGCAGCUCAGCCUCUGCCCUCCAAUUUAUUGCCCCGGUUUCUCCCUCAGGCUUCAGAGCCCUUCCUCUGCCCCAUCUCUGUUCCUAAGCCCUCUUCCAAUACCCCUCCCCCCAGCUGCCUCCCGUCACCAGCUCCUCAUCCUCGCAGCGCCCUCCCCAACCCACCCAUACCUCCUAUACCCAACCUCGCCCAUACCACGGUCUACACGCAAAAUCUCCCCCCACCUGAUUUUACAGGGGAAGGAGGACCUUCGCCC